rnacentral:rRNA from 1 species
UUACUCCUACGGGAGGCAGCAGUGGGGAAUUUUCCGCAAUGGGCGAAAGCCUGACGGAGCAAUGCCGCGUGGAGGUGGAAGGCCUACGGGUCGUCAACUUCUUUUCUCGGAGAAGAAACAAUGACGGUAUCUGAGGAAUAAGCAUCGGCUAACUCUGUGCCAGCAGCCGCGGUAAUCA